rnacentral:rRNA from 1 species
UGGGGAAUAUUGGGCAAUGGGCGAAAGCCUGACCCAGCAACGCCGCGUGAGUGAUGAAGGCCUUCGGGUUGUAAAACUCUUUGGACAGGGACGAAGAAAGUGACGGUACCUGUAGAACAAGCCACGGCUAACUACGUGCCAGCAGCCGCGGUAAUACGUAGGUGGCGAGCGUUAUCCGGAUUUACUGGGCGUAAAGGGCGUGUAGGCGGCUAGAUAAGUGUGAUGUUUAAAUCCAAGGCUUAACCUUGGGGUUCAUUACAAACUGUUUAGCUUGAGUGCUGGAGAGGAUAGUGGAAUUCCAUGUGUAGCGGUGAAAUGCGUAGAUAUAUGGAGGAACACCGGUGGCGAAAGCGGCUCUCUGGUCUGUAACUGACGCUGAGGCUCGAAAGCGUGGGGAGCGAACAGG